GGCGGAUGUAGCCAAGUGGAUCAAGGCAAU
rnacentral:tRNA from 6 species